rnacentral:lncRNA from 1 species
CCCCCACUGUACUGUGAAGCUCAGGGCAAGACUUUCUAAAAGUCUUCUGCCUACACCUGACAUGCUGUCCAGUGUGCACAGUUAUAUGUUGACUGUAUGAAGAUGGUGAAGGCUUUUCUGUAGUUGCAGAUCUCGCAAAAGGGGAGGAAGGCCUUCACCGCUGAACCCGAGCUUUGCCAUUUCGAAGUGCUGAGUCACCUCGUCCUCUCAGGGUCAGACACUUUCACGCAGGAAACGUCCUGCAGAGCACCGCAGCGGGAGCACCGAGCUGGGUGGUAAUUUAUUCUAGAACCGAUGUGCCAGCGUUUCCUUCUGUGUGCUUUGAGUAGGAGCAGGAACAACGGAUCUCUCCAAGCAUGGGCAGACGGAGAGCUGCAACCCUUGGACCAACCAACGCCUGCCAGUGGGCGCCUGCAUCCCACGCCUGCAUCCCGCGUGCAGGCUACUGGCAGGUGCUCUGUGUCUCACUCCAUCUUUACCUGCCCUGUAAAGGAGGAACUGUUGUUUUUAGUCUCCUGGAGCAGCCGCGCCUUCCCACAGCACUCAGACUUGAGGAAGCUUAAGAAGCUGAGACCAGAGAGGGCGAUGUCCACCUUGGUGACGAAGCACUCUAGAGGCUGCCGCCACACUUAAAAAGUGACCAGUCACCAACAACUCAUCUUAAGUACAGGAAGAAUGCCAGCAGCUGAAUGAAAUUCUUGCUUUCCCUGGUGAACAACGAAGGGGAAGGGAAUGGAGUGUGGUGAAAGAGAGGGCAGAAAGGCUGCCAGUGUCCUCUUCAUCCCUGCCCCACCCCCACCCCCACCCCCCAGCACAGAGAGACCCGGGAAGAUUUCAAAUCUUUCCUUUAAGUGGCGGCUAAGGACAAAAUGAAAUGACUUAGCCACCUAUCAUGGUCUUUACUGAGUUAUAUCCAUGGAUAUAAGAUAAUUUGGCAUCUAAAAAACAAAGACAGGGCCAGUAAAAUGGCUCACUGGGUAAAGGUGCCCGCUGCCAAGCCAGAGCACCUGGGUUUGGUCCUUGGAACUCACACGGUGGGGAGAACAGAUCCCUUCAUGCUGUGUGCUGAUGCCCACAUGCAUGUUAGGAAAACACUUCCAGCCCCCUAAACUAACUUUUUCUAUUCCGUACUCUGCCUGUGACUAGACCUGGAAGGAGAGAACAAGGGCCUUCCUGAGGCAGGACAAGGACCCAGAACUACCCAGAAUGCAGCAGGGCGGCCCCGCACGACUGAGCUCUGAUCCUAACCUGCAAAGUGAAGUUUCAAUUUCCACUUCCUGAGAAGAUGUGGAAACUCAGAGAGGAUGCCACUGUUUUGAACUAUUUUGAAGGCACAGCCACCAGAGCUUUAGGUCAGAAGAGGUCCUUGGAACUGGAAUUACAGGUGGCUGUGAGCCUCCAGGUAGGUGCUGAGAAUCAAGCAGCCUGGCUCCUCUGUAGGAGCUCUAAGGAAUGCUCUUACCUGCUGAGCCAUCUGUCCAGCCCUGAUUGUCCUGGCUGUUAAUUGAGGAAGGAAGACUUACUCUGAGGGAGGGCUGAGCCAGUCCCCAGGCUGCUCCCUGAAUGGUAUGUAGAGGAGGGGAGCCAGCUAAGCACUGACCAGCGAGGGUGUGCACAUUUUCUUUGGUCUUUGUUUUGAAUGUGGUGUGGCUGGCUGCUUCAAUUCCUGACUUGAUUUCCUCAAAAGGAUAGGCUGUAACCCAGAAUGGUAAACUGCCUU